GGGGACAUAGGCUAACUUGGCAGACCAGCGGGCUCCAGACCCGCAUAUCGGGGUUCAAAUCCCCGUGUCCCCA
rnacentral:tRNA from 2 species